rnacentral:rRNA from 1 species
UACCAGCACCCCGAGUGGUCGGGACGUUUAUUGGGCCUAAAGCAUCCGUAGCCGGUUCUACAAGUCUUCCGUUAAAUCCAACUGCUUAACAGGUGGGCUGCGGAAGAUACUAUAGAGCUAGGAGGCGGGAGAGGCAAGCGGUACUCGAUGGGUAGGGGUAAAAUCCGUUGAUCCAUUGAAGACCACCAGUGGCGAAGGCGGCUUGCCAGAACGCGCUCGACGGCGAGGGAUGAAAGCUGGGGGAGCAAACCAGGG